GGACGUCGAAGACGUCACUUCCGAGUUGCCGCCAUUUUGUGAUCGGCGCCAUUAGUCUGUGCGGCUCGGAAUAAAUAAAGAUCUAGAAAUCUAACCCGAGAAGAAGUUCUCGUGUGUUUAUUUUUUAUUUAUUUAUUUAGAAUAUAUCUCUGCUUUACUCGACAUUAAACACCUUAACAAGCCACAGAACGACCGCUAUGUCCGAGGAGCAACACGUCGGAGAGGAGGCGGUGUUGAAGAUGGAGGAGGCGGCGGCAGACAGCUGCGGAGAGGUUCAAGCAGUGGUGGAAAGCGCCUCCGGAGACUCGGAGGGAGCCAAAAUCGAUGCCAGUAAAAACGAAGAAGACGAAGGGAAAAUGUUUGUAGGUGGGCUCAGCUGGGAUACCACAAAGAAGGAUCUAAAAGAUUAUUUUUCCAAGUUUGGAGAAGUUGUAGACUGCACACUAAAAUUGGAUCCCAUCACUGGAAGAUCGCGGGGAUUUGGCUUUGUAUUAUUUAAAGAAGCAGACAGCGUCGAUAAGGUGAUGGAGCAAAAGGAACACAAACUAAAUGGAAAAGUCAUCGAUCCUAAAAAAGCAAAGGCAAUGAAAACAAAAGAACCUGUUAAGAAGAUAUUUGUUGGAGGCCUUUCUCCAGAUACACCUGAAGAAAAAAUUAGAGAAUAUUUUGGUGGUUUUGGAGAGGUGGAUUCAAUAGAGUUGCCCAUGGAAAACAAGACAAAUAAAAGGCGAGGGUUCUGCUUUAUAACAUUUAAAGAAGAAGAACCUGUGAAGAAGAUCAUGGAAAAGAAAUACCAUAAUGUUGGACUAAGUAAAUGUGAAAUUAAAGUUGCCAUGUCCAAAGAGCAGUAUCAACAGCAACAGCAACAGUGGGGAGGCAGAGGUGGUUUUGCAACAAGACCACGUGGAAGAGGAGGUCCAAGCCAAAAUUGGAACCAGGGGUAUGGAAACUAUUGGAAUCAAGGAUAUGGCAACUAUAAUUACAGCUAUAAUAACCAAGGCUAUGGAGGAUAUGGCAGCUAUGAUUACCAUGGUUAUAACAACUACUACGGAUAUGGUGACUACAGCAAUCAGCAGAGUGGUUAUGGCAAAGCUCCACGGCGAGGUGGUCACCAAAACAGUUACAAGCCAUACUAAAAUAUAUUCCCUACUUUUUAUAAGCAGCGGGAACUUCAUUGCAGGCCAUGUGUCACGCUGACUUCACGAUUCUCACAGGCCCGCUCAAUGCGGACAGGGUACGAGAUGCUCACGCUCUCGAAUGCUGCCAUUUGGUGAAGGAGCAGUAUUUCACAUCAUGCAGAAGAUCCUCAAAGGAGGUUUUUAGACUAGACUGACUUUUUUUUGUCAUUUUUGUGUUUCGUUUGGCCUUGUAUGUUUCACUCAAGUCUUUGUUUAUUUGUGCACUUAAUUUUUUAAUUUUAAUAUAAUACUUUUAUUUCCUUAUUGCAAACACUAUGCUUAUAAAGCAGCCAACAGUGUGCUGUAUAUUUUUCUUUGUUGUGAAGUCAUGUUUUUGAGGUAUAUUGUGAUAAAAAGUGAAACACAAUUGUGUAAAUUUUUUAAAAUAAAUCUUUUUCUACAAGGA